AAGAGUACUGUCACGUUCCCUUUAAGCUGCCCGGCUGUAAUUUCUGGUUGAGCCGAUCAGAAUCAUUUUGCUCCUGGAAGUUUUGGAGACACUGGAUAAGUGACAAGUAGUUGACACAUAUUCAUCUGAAACACAACCUCUUGUUAUGCUCUGACACGUCAGGCAUCUGGUUGGCUGGCCCUGCUUCCUGUCCGGUAAGGCCUGCCCCUGUGGAGCCACUAGCAUGCAGUUCCUCUGUGUGUCCAUGGGGUGGAGCUGCUGAGCCAUGGAUGACUUCACUACCAAUGAUUUCACCACCAGAACAUAUGGCACCAGCGGCCUUGACAACAGACUGCUGUUUGGAGAAACCUCUGCUCGGGACAGAGCCAUCAACCUGGUGGUCGGAGGACUGACAACCCUGCUCGUUGUAGUAACAGUGAUCAGUUCAUUCCUG